AGCGAACGCUGGCGGCAGGCUUAACACAUGCAAGUCGAACGGGCGUAGCAAUACGUCAGUGGCAGACGGGUGAGUAACGCGUGGGAACGUACCUUUUGGUUCGGAACAACACAGGGAAACUUGUGCUAAUACCGGAUAAGCCCUUACGGGGAAAGAUUUAUCGCCGAAAGAUCGGCCCGCGUCUGAUUAGCUAGUUGGUGAGGUAACGGCUCACCAAGGCGACGAUCAGUAGCUGGUCUGAGAGGAUGAUCAGCCACAUUGGGACUGAGACACGGCCCAAACUCCUACGGGAGGCAGCAGUGGGGAAUAUUGGACAAUGGGCGCAAGCCUGAUCCAGCCAUGCCGCGUGAGUGAUGAAGGCCCUAGGGUUGUAAAGUUCUUUCGGCCGGGAAGAAAUCGUAUGGGUUAAUACCCUGUGCGGAUGACGGUACCGGCAUAAGAAGCACCGGCUAACUACGUGCCAGCAGCCGCGGUAAAGUGUGUGUA
rnacentral:rRNA from 1 species